rnacentral:rRNA from 1 species
ACUCAAAUGAAUAGACGGGAGCUCACACAAGCGGUGGAGCAUGUUGCUUAAUUCGAAGCAACGCGAAGAACCUUACCUGGGUUUGACAUGUACGGAUUAGUUGGUGGAAACAUCAAUGAGGCCCGCAAGGGUACAACGUGCACAGGUGCUGCAUGGCUGUCGUCAGCUCGUGCUGUGAAGUGUCGGGUUAAGUCCCUUAACGAGCGCAACCCCUGUCGUUAGUUGCUAACGCGUCAUGGCGAGGACUCUAACGAGACUGCCGGUGUCAAACCGGAGGAAGGUGGGGAUGACGUCAAGUCCUCAUGGCCCUUACAUCCAGGGUUGCAAACGUGCUACAAUGGCGCGCACAAAGCGACGCGAGGCCGCGAGGCGGAGCAAAUCGCAAAAAACGCGCCCCAGUUCGGAUUGCAGGCUGCAACCCGCCUGCAUGAAGUCGGAAUCGCUAGUAAUCGGAGAUCAGCUACGCUCCGGUGAAUAAGUUCCUGAGCUUUGUACACACCGCCCGU